rnacentral:rRNA from 1 species
GACCGAGGGUGCAAACGUUGUUCGGAAUUACUGGGCGUAAAGCGUGUGUAGGCGGUCCACUAAGUCGGGUGUGAAAGCCCUGGGCUCAACCCAGGAAGUGCACUCGAAACUGGCGGGCUAGAGUAUCGGAGAGGUUGGUGGAAUUCUCGGUGUAGAGGUGAAAUUCGUAGAUAUCGAGAGGAACACCGGUGGCGAAGGCGGCCAACUGGACGAAUACUGACGCUGAGACACGAAAGCGUGGGGAGCAAACAGG